rnacentral:rRNA from 1 species
CUCUCGGCAACGGAUAUCUCGGCUCUCGCAUCGAUGAAGAACGUAGCGAAAUGCGAUACCUGGUGUGAAUUGCAGAAUCCCGCGAACCAUCGAGUCUUUGAACGCAAGUUGCGCCCGAGGCCACCCGGUCGAGGGCACGCCUGCCUGGGCGUCACGCCAAAACA